AUUGAACGCUGGCGGCAGGCCUAACACAUGCAAGUCGAGCGGUAACAUUUCUAGCUUGCUAGAAGAUGACGAGCGGCGGACGGGUGAGUAACGCGUAGAAAUCUACCUAGUAGUGGGGGAUAGCCCAGAGAAAUUUGGAUUAAUACCGCAUACGCCUACGGGGAAAGCGGGGGAUCUUCGGACCUCGUGCUAUUAGAUGAGUCUGCGUCGGAUUAGCUUGUUGGUGAGGUAAUGGCUCACCAAGGCGACGAUCCGUAGCUGGUCUGAGAGGAUGACCAGCCACACUGGAACUGAGACACGGUCCAGACUCCUACGGGAGGCAGCAGUGGGGAAUAUUGCACAAUGGGCGCAAGCCUGAUGCAGCCAUGCCGCGUGUGUGAUGAAGGUCUUAGGAUCGUAAAGCACUUUCGCCAGGGAUGAUAAUGACAGUACCUGGUAAAGAAACCCCGGCUAACUCCGUG
rnacentral:rRNA from 1 species